rnacentral:rRNA from 1 species
CACGUAGGGUGCGAGCGUUGUCCGGAAUUAUUGGGCGUAAAGAGCUCGUAGGCGGUGUGUCGCGUCGGCCGUGAAAACCUGCAGCUUAACUGUGGGCUUGCGGUCGAUACGGGCAUCACUGGAGUUCGGCAGGGGGAGACUGGAAUUCCUGGUGUAGCGGUGAAAUGCGCAGAUAUCAGGAGGAACACCGGUGGCGAAGGCGGAUCUCUGGGCCGGUACUGACGCUGAGGAGCGAAAGCCGUGGGGGAGCGAACAGGG